rnacentral:rRNA from 1 species
GAUGAACGCUGGCGGCGUGCUUAACACAUGCAAGUCGAACGGAAAGGCCCAAGCUUGCUUGGGUACUCGAGUGGCGAACGGGUGAGUAACACGUGGGUGAUCUGCCCUGCACUUCGGGAUAAGCCUGGGAAACUGGGUCUAAUACCGGAUAGGACCACAUUUUGGAUGGUGUGGUGGAAAGUUUUUCGGUGUGGGAUGAGCUCGCGGCCUAUCAGCUUGUUGGUGGGGUAAUGGCCUACCAAGGCGUCGACGGGUAGCCGGCCUGAGAGGGUGUACGGCCAAAGGGGGAGUGGAGACCGGCACAGCCCCCAACGGGAGGAGGCAGGGGGAAAUAGUGCAAAAUGGGCGAAAGCUGAAUGAGGGACGGCGGGGGGGGGAAGGACGGCCUGGGGGUUGUAAGUUCCUUCGGCUGGGAACGAAGGGUUUUUGUGAGGGUCCCUGGAGAAGAAGCCCCGGCAAACUACGUC